CCCUGAUCUUCUGUGAAGGGUUCGAAUUGGAGUACGCAUGUCGGGACCCGAAAGAUGGUGAAUUAUGCUUGAGCGGGGCGAAGUCAGAGGAAAAUCUAAUGGAGGCUCGAAGCGAUACUGACGUACAAAUCGUUUGUCUGACUUGGGUAUAGGG
rnacentral:rRNA from 1 species